GACAGAGGGGGCAAGCGUUGCUCGGAAUUACUGGGCGUAAAGCGUGCGUAGACGGUUACGUAAGUCAGAUGUGAAAGCCCCGGGCUCAACCUGGGAAUUGCAUUUGAGACUGCGUAGCUAGGGUGCGGAAGAGGGAAGCGGAAUUUCCGGUGUAGCGGUGAAAUGCGUAGAUAUCGGAAGGAACACCAGUGGCGAAAGCGGCUUCCUGGUCCAGCACCGACGUUCAGGCACGAAAGCGUGGGGAGCAAACAGG
rnacentral:rRNA from 1 species